rnacentral:rRNA from 1 species
UACGAAGGGGGCUAGCGUUGCUCGGAAUGACUGGGCGUAAAGGGCGCGUAGGCGGUUUGCACAGUCAGAUGUGAAAUUCCUGGGCUCAACCUGGGGGCUGCAUUUGAUACGUGUAGACUUGAGUGGGGAAGAGGGUCGUGGAAUUCCCAGUGUAGAGGUGGAAUUCGUAGAUAUUGGGAAGAACACCGGUGGCGAAGGCGGCGACCUGGUCCUUGACUGACGCUGAGGCGCGAAAGCGUGGGGAGCAAACAGG